GGGCUUGACCGGUUUUGACAGCGGGCAGAGAUGGUUUGUAAGCAUGCAGUGCGUCGUUGUUCGGCACUUUAAUCUCGAAUGAUAAAAAAUUAACUGGCGAAAAUACUUACGCUCUCGCUGCUUGAUUGAAGUAUAGUAGAUCCUAAGCUUUAUUCCUUCUCAAGGAGUUGGAACGAGACAUCACCCGGAAGCUGUGGCUUCGAAGCAAUCCGAACAGGUGGUGCGGCAAUAUCGGAGAUAGUUUGAAAUACGUCCCGGAUUUCAAAUGAAAUAAAGGGAAUAAGUUCAAUAUUGGUGGCUUUGGUCUUGUAUUGAAACGAAAAUGAAGGCAAAGAUAAGCAUGUAGAAAGCAGAUGAUUUCCCCGUUUGGACGAGGGUUCGAAUCCCUCCAGGUCCACC
rnacentral:tmRNA from 1 species